ACUUAAGUCGGCCCAUGGUUUACACGGAUUUCCAGCAAGAUCUAAAAUACUACACUUCCUCCCUUCUGCGACUCGUCCCCCGGCCCCCGCCCCCAUUUUCCUCCGUUCCAGGCUGCUUGGGAGUUUGCGGACAUAGAAGUGCCAGAUGAAGAAGAUAUGACCCUUCCUGCUUUUAUGAAUGAGAAAACUGAGAGGAGUUGGCGACUUGCCCAGGGUCACAAUGAUAUUCAGAGCAGAGCCAGCUCUAGAGGCUUCAGCCAUGGAGCUCCUUACAUAUUAAAGAAACAAGCCCUCCGUCAGCAGUACAAAUAGAAAGGAUUCUCAACUCCCCAAGAUUUGACACUUGUAUUUUGACUUUGUAGAGAAUUAAACAUUUUUUAUGUAGUCAAAUGUAUCAAUCUUAUCUUUUAUAGCCCCUGGGUUUGCUCACAAUUAGAAAUGCCUUCCCCAUUUUGAGAACUGAAAAAAAUUUUCUCCCAUGGUUUCUUCUAGCUAAUGUAACGCUUUAAUGAUAUAAAUCAGAUCAUGUCACUCCCCAUUUAAAACCUUGUGGUAACUCACUAUUACCUUUAUACUAAUACCCACUCUCCUGACACUGGCCUAUGAAGUUUCAAAUGACCUAGUCUUGCCUUGUCUCCAGUCACACUGGCCUUCCUUCUGUUCGGCCCAGCCUCUGGCCUUUACAUUUGCUGUUCCCUCUACCUGGACUGCUCUUCACUUGGCAGGUUCCUCCUUCUAACUGAGGUCUCACCUUCUUAUGGAGGUGUUCUCUGGUCACUCCACCUGAAGUUAUCUCACCCUAAUUCCUCAGCAGUCACUCUUCAGAACCUUCUCUGAAAUGAUUCCUAGGAGAGCAGGGAGCUCACAGGUUGUGCUCUUUCUUCAUCUCCAGGGCCUGAAAUGUAGCUGACAUCCAGUUACUAUUUGUAAAGUAAAUGUUAUAUGUGAGAACUAUCUGUGUGUGAGAUUGGGUAGUUGUGUAUUAAAGGGGCAGCGAGGGGAGUGUGUGUGUAUGUUUGGUGUGUGGUUGUGAAUGUGUAUGAUUGCGGAGGUGGCCGGUAGGGUUUUGUGAGACUGUGUGCCUGUGUGACUGUAUGUGAGGUGGUGGCAGGUGGUGGUAUUUCUGUGUGCAGUUGGGUUAUUCUGCUCUGGUGACUAGGUAAUUUUAUUGCAUAGGUCUGAUCAUUCUGACCCUGCCAGAUGCUGCCCUCUCAUUCCUGACAUUAGGCAGUGAUAUCAAAGGUCAACAACUGGCCUUUGCCUAUUCUGGAGUGAGCUGGAGGAGUCUCCAUUCCAGAAAGAGGCUCGAAGGACCUCAAGGCCCUCCUAUUCUACACCAAAGUUCUCCUCCCUGAGCAGGGGAAUGUGUGGGAGGCCAUCUAGGCCACCCCCUGCCUCAGGACAAAGCUGUGUUGCACCAGGCCCUUGGCGGCUGUCCCAGCCACCCCCACUUCCCUCAGGGCCUACACCUGCUCUCUGGGGUGGCAAGUCUUAAGCCUGCCUCCGUACCUCUUCCUGCCCAGGCCUUGGCUCAGGUUGAUCUUGCUCCCAGGCCUCUCCCUGUGCCUGAAACUCUGCCCGGGCCUCAGACAGGGGCUUUUUGGGAAGGGCAGAGCCUUCCUACUCUGUCUGGGAUUUCCCCCAUGUUUGUCUGUGUGUGGUAGGGGCCUAGGCCCUCUCAUGGGUUUGAAGGCCCUCUCACAGAGACACAGGGCAGGUAGAACCCACUGGAAUACAGGUCAGGCAGAAGGAUGCGGGUUUUCCAGCCCUGCUCCAGCAUGUCUGGGGCUGUGAGUAGGGAGGAAGAGAUGUCCCAGGACCCAGGCUAGGGUGUUGCUUUUCUUCUAAGAUAUACAGAGUUAGUUGGAACUUCUGCCUGCACAACUUUGUCCUCAAAUAAAGGAGAUAAUACAUGACUUUUCUGAGCUGCUGUCAGGAUUUAACCAUCCUACAUGUGUAUCGAAUCCUACCCCUUCUUUCCCACCCUGGACUUCACUCUACCUCUUCUCUUUAUCUUCCACUAUCACCUUUUUGCACUUCACUGGGUCUUUCCCAUUACAAUACAUAUGCUAGUAUUUCUCCACCUCAAACAAACCAACCAACCAACCAACCAACCAACCAACCUCCCUUAACUGUACUUCCAGCAUCUGCCACAUUUUUUCCCAACCCUUUAUAGCAAAACUCCUCUAAAGAGUUGUCUUGAUUCAUUAUCUCCUUUUUUCUUUUUUCCCCUCUUGUUCCUCUUUUGAAUUCAGCCUAAUCACGCUUUUGCUCCUCAUAUUCCACCCAAAGGCUCCACCGAAGUUCCCAUCACUAAAUCCCACCGUCAAGUUUCAACUCUCAUCUUUCCCUGAACUUCAGCAGCGUUUGGCCACUAGAACGUCAUUUCUUCUUUCAUUUUGGCCUUACUUUUUCAGUCAUCUUUGCUGUCUUUUCUAGAUCUCCCUGACUUCUAAAUAAUGGGGUGCCCCGGGCCUCAGUCCUAGGACUCCUCUUUUCUGUCCUCACUCAGUCUCUUGGUAAUGUCAUCAAGUCUCAGGAUUUAAACAACACAAUUAGGCUGACAACUCCUAGUUACUUAUCUUCAGCUUAGACCAUUGUAUUCAGCUGCUUCUCUACUUCUUCCUACAGAAUUCUAGUAAGUAUCACAAACUUCUCCUGUCCCAAAUUAAGGUCCUUCUUUAUUUAGGAACAAAACAAACAAAAACAAAACCUUCAAACCAGAAGCUCAGUUAAAUUUGAAUUUCAGAUGGUGCGUGGGACAUAUUUAUGCUAAAAAUAAUUUGCUGUUAAUCUGGAAUUCAGAUUUAAUUGGGCGUCUUAUAUUUUUCUGUCAACCUACUCCUUAUAUUCCUCUCUAAACUUCUCUUCUCACUUACUCUUUAAGCAAAUGGCAUUUUUACUCACUUAUUUGUUCAGCCCCCAAAUCUUAGAGUCAUUGUUGACUCUUUUCUCAUACCCUGCAUUCAAUGUCAGUGAAUCAUUUUGGUGCUACUUGCAAAAUAUUUUCAGAAUCUGGCCACUUCUUACCAGUUCCAUUCAUGUUAUCCUGGUAACAGUAGAGCCGUAAAUCAUUUUUUUCUCUGCACUAUUGCAAUAGUCUUGUAACUGGUCUCCCUGCUUUAUCCCUUUCUCCUUGUCAUUUAUUGCUAACACAGCCACCUAGAGGACCAUGCUCCUUUUUGUUCAAAAUGCUCUACUGGCUUCCUGCUUACUCACAGGCAUCAAGUUGGCUUGAAGGACCCUGUGCGAGCUGGUCUUUUUCAGGCCUCAUCUGAAAGCUCUGGCUUCAUUUUCUGUGCCUCUAGGCUCUCCCGCUGCCCUGCCUCACUGGCUUCCUUGCUAUCCCGGGUGCACAUGGGGUCUUCCCCAGCCCCAGCACCUGUGGAUUUGCCCUUCUAUCUGGUGCACUUUCUCCUGAGAUCUCUGCCUGGCUUACUCCCUCCCCUCUGGCUUCCCUAUUUCAAACUGCAGUUCCCCUCUCAACAUUCCCUACUCCCCUUUCUGCUUUAUUUUUCUCCUUAGCACUAUAAUAAUGUAAUGUAUCUUAUAUUUUGCUUAUUUGUCUUGUUAAUUGUCUUCCCCAUCACUAGAAUCUACAAGGACAGUAAUUUUUGUCUAUUGUGUCUUCUGGUGUAUUCCCAGUGCUUAAAACAGUGCUUAGCAUUUCUUAGACAAAAUGCUUGUAGAAUGGGUAAAUGAAACCCAUCAAGCACACUAAGCCCCUGUCCCAGGCCUGCACACAGCAGCUAUUUAAUCAGUUCCCUUCUAGCUUAACAUCCCAUCCUCCUACCCAUCAGAAGUUCCUUCCUGACCACCUGCCCUCCUCAAGGAAGCCUUUACUGACCAAGCCUCACCUGUUUUCGCUCCUUCCUGUCACCAGGCCAGAACCCCUGGUACUCAAGGGUUGAGUAAGCUGUCUGUCUGAUUGAAUCUCUCUGUCCUCACCCAGCCUCUGCUCUCUUCUGGAUGGGAGGACACUCUUUGCUUAGGUUGUCCUUUGAGCUGCUAGGGAGUGGGGUAUCGGGGUGGCUGGGUAAACCAGCUGGGGGUGAGGAAUGUGCAAUGUGCCUGAAGUCAGCAUGCCCCUUGUGAUGUGGGAGCUUUUGGAGUCUCAACCUUGGGCUGAAGAGGUGAUGAGCACUGGGCAUCAGAGAGUACAACUGAGACUUCCUGAACUCUCUGUUCCUAUAAAUUGGAGAUGUCUUGACAUAGGCACCUCAGUAGAUGGUUUGCCAUGAGCUGAGCUGAGAACCACAGGAAGAGGAAUAGGUUGGAGAGGUAGAAGAAAAUGAUUGUGUCUGGAGUUUGCUAAAUGAUACGUGUGUUUGUAAAUGAUAUUCUAAUCCAGCCAUUUUGACAAAGCCAUCAGGACCUUCUGACACAGCCUAUAAAAACCCUUUCUGAUUAUGCAAGUGUACAACAGACGUUUCACCCCAUCCCACACUCUGUCCCUGAGCCUCACCUAAUGCCUGAUGCUUAGCCCUCCCAGAGCCUCGGGGGUGGGGUGUGACUCAGGACUGGUUGUUUUCCUAAGCCAAAUUGUCUCUGCAUCCAAAUGCCCAGCUUGAGUGGUCUGUGUUCCCUGUGGGACACAUGUGUGUGGAUGUCCUUAGGCAGCCAGAUGCAUGGGACUGGACCUCAGGAGAGAGAAGAAAAGUGGGAACCCUUGUGCAUUGCAGGUGCAAAUGCAAAAUGGUGCAGCCGCUGUGGAGUUUGGUAGUUCCUCAAAAAAUUAAAUGUAAAAUUACCAUAUAACCCAGCAAGUCCACCCCUACUUAUAUACCUGAAAUAUUUGAGAACAGCCUCAAACAAAUUCUUGUACAUGAAUGUUCAUAGCAGCACUGUUCACAAUAGCCCAGACAAAUGUCCAUCGAGGGAAUAAUGGAUAAACAAAAUGUGGUAUAUCCAUACAAUAGAAUAUUAUUCAGUCAUAAAAAGGAAUCAAGUUCUGAUUAUAUUGCAAUAUAGAUGAGUCGUGAAAACAUUAUUCUAAGUAUAGAUAUUAUAUGAUUUCGCUUAUAUGAA